AGCAGCCGCGGUAAUUCCAGCUCCAAUAGCGUAUAUUAAAGUUGUUGCAGUUAAAAAGCUCGUAGUUGAAUUUCGGGAUUAAUUUACUGGUCGUGCUAUUGUACGUACUGGUUUUAUUGAUUCCUCCCUUCUGACGAACUAUGAUGCCAUUAAUUUGGUGUCAUAGGGAAUCAGGACUGUUACUUUGAAAAAAUUAGAGUGUUUAAAGCAGGCUCACGCUUGAAUACAUUAGCAUGGAAUAACGGAAUAGGACGUUUGAUUCUAUUUUGUUGGUUUCUAGGAUCGACGUAAUGAUUAAUAGGGAUAGUUGGGGGCAUUAGUAUUCAAUUGUCAGAGGUGAAAUUCUUGGAUUUAUUGAAGACUAACUACUGCGAAAGCAUUUGCCAAGGAUGUUUUCAUUAAUCAAGAACGAAAGUUAGGGGAUCGAAGACGAUCAGAUACCGUCGUAGUCUUAACCAUAAACUAUGCCGACUAGGGAUCGGAUGAUGUUAAUUUUUUAAUGACUCAUUCGGCGCCUUACG
rnacentral:rRNA from 1 species